rnacentral:rRNA from 1 species
AAGACCUUGCGCUUUUGGAGCGGCCGAUGUCUGAUUAGCUAGUUGGUGGGGUAAUGGCCUACCAAAGCUUCGAUCAGUAGCUGGUCUGAGAGGACGGCCAGCCACACUGGGACUGAGACACGGCCCAGACUCCUACAGGAGGCAGCAGUGGGGAAUUUUGGACAAUGGGCGCAAGCCUGAUCCAGCCAUGCCGCGUGAGUGAAGAAGGCCUUCGGGUUGUAAAGCUCUUUCAGCCGGGAAGAAAAGGCUGCGACUAAUAAUCGCAGUUCAUGACGGUACCGGAAGAAGAAGCGCCGGCUAACUACGCGCCAGCAGCCGCGGUAAUACGUAGGGUGCGAGCGUUAAUCGGAAUUACUGGGCGUAAAGGGUGCGCAGGCGGUUUUGUAAGUCAGAUGUGAAAUCCCCGGGCUUAACCUGGGAACU